GACGAACGCUGGCGGCGUGCCUAAUACAUGCAAGUCGAGCGGACUUGAAGGAGUGCUUGCACUCCUGAGAGUUAGCGGCGGACGGGUGAGUAACACGUAGGCAACCUGCCCUCAAGACUGGGAUAACUACCGGAAACGGUAGCUAAUACCGGAUAAUUUAUUACAUAGCAUUAUGUGAUAAUGAAGGACGGAGCAAUCUGUCACUUGGGGAUGGGCCUGCGGCGCAUUAGCUAGUUGGUGGGGUAACGGCCCACCAAGGCGACGAUGCGUAGCCGACCUGAGAGGGUGAACGGCCACACUGGGACUGAGACACGGCCCAGACUCCUACGGGAGGCAGCAGUAGGGAAUCUUCCGCAAUGGGCGAAAGCCUGACGGAGCAACGCCGCGUGAGUGAUGAAGGUUUUCGGAUCGUAAAGCUCUGUUGCCAAGGAAGAACGUCUCAUAGAGAAACUGCUAUGAGAGUGACGGUACUUGAGAAGAAAGCCCCGGCUAACUACGUG
rnacentral:rRNA from 1 species